UACGUAGGGUGCAAGCGUUAUCCGGAAUUAUUGGGCGUAAAAGAGCUCGUAGGUGGUUCGGUAAGUCGGAUGUGAAAUCUCCAGGCUCAACCUGGAGGGGUCAUUCGAUACUGCCGUGACUGAGUUCGGUAGGGGAGUGGUGGGAAUUCCUGGUGGAGCGGUGAAAUGCGCAGAUAUCAGGAGGAACACCCGUAGCGAAGGCGGCACUCUGGGCCGAUACUACACUGAGGGAGCGAAA
rnacentral:rRNA from 1 species